UACGUAGGGUGCGAGCGUUAAUCGGAAUUACUGGGCGUAAAGCGUGCGCAGGCGGUUUUGUAAGUCUGACGUGAAAUCCCCGGGCUCAACCUGGGGAAUUGCGUUGGAGACUGCAAGGCUGGAGUCUGGCAGAGGGGGGUAGAAUUCCACGUGUGAGCAGUGAAAUGCGUAGAGAUGUGGAGGAACACCGGAUGGCGAAGGCAGCCCCCUGGGUCAAGACUGACGCUCAUGCA
rnacentral:rRNA from 1 species